AAAGAAUUAUUUCUAUUUUUUAAUCUUUGAAAUCUCUGUAAAGUUUUUUUGAUAUUUUCUAUAAAAAUCAAGUGGCGACUCUAUAAUUUUUUUCAAAAUUAUUUCAAAUUUUUUUGAAUUUUUUGAAAUAGUUUGGAAGAGGCCAAAACCAUUUUCUUAAAAAUAAAAUUUGAAAAAAGGAUAAAACAAAAAUGACAACUCUGCUGGGCAUUUGACUAGGUUCUAACCAAAUGUGGGAACUAACUUCUUUGACUAACUAUUCGGGUUGUAAUAUUUAAACUAUUUGUCUACUUAUGUGUUUAAAUUUACACAAAAUUUAAAUUGUUGCAUUUCAUGGCAUACUUCCACAUUCAAAAUAUAUAAAUUGUUUGGAGUUUCGUGGAUGUCCCGGCUCCUAUUGUUCAAUUUCAAAUCAAGUGUUAGUAACAAGUUAGCUUAUUGGCACGUUGGGCGUUCGAUGACUAUUUGUAUUUCCAAACCCAAGUCGUUCGCUUGGGAACCUGGUUAAAGCCCACUGUAUACACUCAGGAUAGAACAAUAUCAAAACCCUAUUUUAGGCAUGAGCCUAGGACAACUCAAUACCCGAGGGAGUAUUGGGCUCAUUUGAAAACCUACCCUGCAUCUAUUGGCCAUGAACCAAUUACAGACAAAUCAUGUUUGUGUGUUAAAAAAAUAUGUCUGUUUAAUCCAAUCAAUUAUUUUUAGGGUAGGGAAAAGAUUUAAUUUUAUUUACUUUCGUGUAGUAAUGGCUCAACCAUACCCCUGCAAAAGAUUCAAGAUGUUACCGACUUGGUAACUUCUUGAAAGUAUAGUGGACUCAUAUGAGUGGAAAAGAUAAGGAGAUUGUUAGUACACAUAUUAGGCAUCUACUAUUGCUUAAAGAGAUGGACGCUUGGCCUUAAAUGAUCCAUGUGCCAACAAUAUUUUAGGAUGAUGAAAACAUGGUGUUUCUUUUCGGGGAAGUCAAAUUGACCCCACCAUUGAAGAAACAAUGAAUUGUUAUGAGAGCAUCGAUAGAUCUAGGAAAAGAAGGAGUGAGCCCGACAAAAGCAUUCUAAUCCCUAUUGUAUGGAACUGUCAGGAGAUCAAGGAUGCCUUUUCAAUCAAUGAUGAUACCUGGUUGGGGGAACAUGAUGGAGAUAACAUACCUUUUCGUGAGUUGUAUCGCCGGUUUGAAAGGUUUAAUGCUUUUGAAAAAUUUGGACAUAAAUUUGAAUUGGAGUCAAAAUGGAGGGAGAAAAGAGCAUUUGCUUUCACCGUGAGCUUGCUUGGAACUAUGGUAUUCCCACAAGGAAAAAAUGACACCAUUCAUCCAAGAGUCAUUACGGUGAUGCAUGCCCUCUUCUACGGAGUAGAUUGCAAAACCACUAAAUUAUUCCAUACUUUAGCUCCCAUGAUCGUCACUAAAAUAUAUAUGGAACUAGGAAAAUGUCAAAGCAGACACUGUUUCUUCAAGGGGUGUAACCUUAUCUUGCAAUGGUGGAUGAUGAAACAUUUAUUGAAAAAUCCUAGAGUAGAGCAGCCGAACCCUCAGAAAAGGGUAGAUCUUUUAUCAUCGCAUGACAUUUGGCUAUCCUUGCACAGGUUUAAAAGGAUAAAAUCUCUGAGAUUUUGGUUUAAGGUUUUUGGGGAAUUGAGAGAGGACAACGUCUAGUGUUCUAUAAGAUAUCUUCGCCUAGGGAAGUACAUCACUCGAGAAAAUGAAUGGCAUUUUUAGUACUUUCAGGUCUCAGAGGAACUCGUUCUUAUAAUUCUGAGAGGGUUCUUAGGCAAUUCGAGAUCAAGUAGGAAACACCGCAAACAGUGUCAAAGGUUAAAUUCAUCACACAGUAUAAAUAAGGUGCAAACCCACUCAAAAAGUACAUCGUAGAUGGGUAGAGGAGAAGAUAAGACAAAGGAAGUAUCCUUUCGUAUAGGGUAUGAAACCGAGGUUAGUGAUACCUACAAAAAGUGCUUGAAGAAGAAUCUUGUCGGAACAUUGGUCCCGAGGUCAAAUGUACCCACACAAAUCAUUGAUGUAGAAUCAAAACAUCAGAUUUGGCUCCACAAGCUUCAGGAUGAACUCCAAGGAAGUGAGAUUGUGCACCAGCAGAUGCAUAUGGAGGAUGCCUCAACUAUACACCAAUUGAGAGAAGAGUUAAAGAGAGCGAGGCAAGAGAUUGAUGAUGCAAGGCAGUGUUUGCUUGAUUUGGAUAAUCACAUGGCUUCUCAACUUGAUUGCAUAGGGAAGAUGACCUACGACAAUAAAUAAAGCACAAUUAUGCAGGAGCCACCUGGUCAUACAAAUAUCACAUAUGGAAAAAAGUAGAUAAAGCCAAGAAGGCAAAGGCCUAUGAAGGAGCAUCUAGGAGUUAAUUUUCUAUCCCCUGUGCGGGACUUUGUUCCUGUCAUUUUUCUUUUCCCUAAAGAUUGUAUCCCUUUAUGCAACUUUUGUAAAUAUUUAUGACCUUCCUUUUAUAUAUAUGUGGAGAUUUUUGGGGGAUAAUUGAUUGGUUUAAAAGAAAUAUAUUUCCUUCAAAUUCGCUAUACCAAACCUUGGCUCAAAAGGGUCACCCAAUUAGGACACGCUAUUUAUUUUUUUAUUAUUGUGUGAUAUAACUGUAUUAUGUGAUAUAACUGUUUAUGUUCUUAUAUGCAUUGUUAAAUCAAAGAUAAAUUGAUCUACUCUUCAACAAAGUCUUAGAAACCCUUUAGGCAAAAUAUGCGCUUUUUAUCCGAAGUCUGCCCAAAAUAUUUCGAGUCGUCAAGUCUCUUAGAAAGUCCUCAAUCAUUUUCGUUAGCUUUCUUUUUAAAUAUAUUCUUAUUCUUUAGGAAGAUCUGUCAUGGAUUCAAGGACCAUACAACUGAAAAGACGGGAUAGUGGAGUUAGCCCAAGUGGAGGAGAUGCAAAACAAAAAAGAUCAAGAGACUGAUUAGGAGGGUUGGUCAGGCCAACAAGGAAAUUACUGUAGUCAAGCAAUUGAUCGCGCAAGAAAAUAAGAAGUUUGAGUAAGCUCCACCUUCAAACUUAAGAGAAGACCACUGGGCCAAGAUUAAAGGAGAUGCCUUUUGUCCAACUAGGAUCAAGUUGGAAUGUUAAAAGAUCACUCUCAGAGCUCACUUCAGAGGAUACUUUCGAUGUCCCCAGAUCGUGACAUGCUCGGCAGUUUACCAAAUCUUAAGAGAUAUAAGAGUCCUCUACCCUGAUCAAACAGAAGGAUUUUGACUGCUUUUCUGAAGAUGCUCAUAAGAAAUGUUAUUAUAAUCCAAAUCAAUGUGGUCAUACCGCUGAUGAGUCUCUUGCUCUGAAGACCAGGAUUUGCAACCUAAUCUGCAACGGCCAAAUAAAUAAUUUGUGGGGACCACAAGCCAUUCUCUAUUGCGAUCAAGUUGAUCUAGGCAUGCCCAUAACCAAUGACGUGCAGAUUUAUAAAUAUAACUUCACAAGGUUUGAAGAUACCUACCAUGAAAUCUAUUACAGCUCAUCCAUGCUAAAAUUCUUGAACCAGUGGAAAGGAAGCCUAAUACGAUGUCUAAGGCUUUGGAAGAAAUUCAGAGAGGUUUGUCACUAUCAUAGAGGGAUCGUAGGUUUUUACUUAAUUCAUAAUUAAUCACAAAAAAUUAGAAUUUGAGAAAAAAUCAAGGAAUAUUCUAAUUGAGAAAUAUUCUAUUUAACUCAUAAUUAUUUCUAGAAAAGCUAUGAGAUUUCUACUUGAAUUAAAAAGAAACCUACCUAAACUAGGUUGCACAUUUGGCUUUAAGAAGGAAAUAAGUCCGUGUUACUAAAAAAAAAGGAAAUAACACUUUUGAAAAAAAAUUAAGAGAGUAUCAAAUUAAAAACAUCUUAUCAAUUAUGAAAAAUUAAAAUUUACAAGAAAAAUUAAUUUCUUGAGUUUGAAGAAAAUUAUUUUGAUCUAAAUAGACUAUUAGCUAUAUCAACAAAACAAGUGCCGUUUUGAACUAAAGUAUUCAUUUUUUAGAGACUUGUUUGAGCUAAUUUAAUUCAUUUUUUUAGAUAGGGUGAAUUACGUAAGAAAAAUUAUAUAAAAUAAGUGAGGAAUUCGAGAUAAAUAGAAUGACAACAAUGUGAAAAAUUACUAGAUUAAUUAAUUAAAAUUACUGCUAAUACAAAUAAGCAAGUAUGAAUUGCAAAUUAUAAGAGAAUAAAAGAUUAAAAGUUAGAGUUGAGCCCCUUUCGGCCCAUCAGCGAGCUGCCCAGCCUUUGGGCUUCCCAUUUUGUGAAAAGGUCCAUUUUCCUGCAUGUAUAUCAGCUGUAUAUCACAGAUCUCUUUUGCAUUUUUGGUUGUAUACAUACUGUAUAUCAUCUUGAUACUUUGGUAUACCAGUUUCCUUAGCUCGAUUUUUACUCCUUUGCAUCUGUGUAUCUGCUUUCAUGACAUGAAUGUAUAUCUGCUGUAUAUCUUUGUAUACGACCUUGAUUUUGGACUUGGAGGGAGCGUAAUUUGAGAGGACGGGGGCUUGGCCCCAUAGAUUAUGCAAGAAUAGGUGUCUGAGGGACUCGUGUGGGGAGGUUCGUUCCAAAAGAACAUAAGGGUCAGUGUCUAGCUAAACAAGAAUUGCACAAAGUAUUUAAGAUUGGAAGGAAACCAACAUGACUAUUUGCUGGAAAAAACAAACUGGAAAAAACAUCUCUUAAUACUAUUUUUAACUAAUUGACUAUUUGCUGUUUAAACAAAAUAAACCAAUAUGUGAUGAAUGGAAAUAAUACAUACCCCAAAUAAAAUAAACUGGAAAAGACAUCUUAAUAUGCAAUUUAACUAAUUGACUAAUUGUUGUUUAAAUAAAAGUAAACCAAUAUGCAAUGAAGAGGCAGAACUAUUUUUACAUAAAAAGAGCUUAUUUUUGUUACUGCAUGCCACAAACUUAACAAAGAUAUAAAGAAAGAAGAGAGAUAAAAAAAAAUGAAAAAAAGGGAUAUACUCGAAAGAAAACAAUUUAAUAUAUUCGAAUUUCUCUUGUGAGCUUAACUUAGUAUAUAAUUGGAUUUAUUUGAUUAAUUUAUUAGUUAUGAUAAAAUCAGAUUUAGAUAUCCAUCAAAAUAUUAUAAAUAUUGUUUAGAUGAAUAACGUACAAAAAUCACAACAAUAUAAAGAAUUAAAACAAAUAAUAUCUGAAAAAUGUAAAGAAUUAAAAAUAAAGAUAGAAAGAUUGCAGUAUAACAUAAUUGCAGGAGUUAGUAAAAACUCAAUAAAUGGACAAAAAGAAGAAAUAUCAAAUUAAGAAUCAACAAUAGAUAGUCUAGAAUAUAUAUAUUAACAUGACCUAUAUACAAUUAAAUAAAAAUGAACAAAGAAGAAUUUAUAAUAGAUGAAAAAACAUAUGAAAAUCACGGAGGAUUAAAAAUAAAAAUAGUAUUCUCUAAUUUAGGAAGGAGAUAUAAGAAAAUAGGUGAACAUUUAUCUUUAAUGUUAGAAAAAGAAGAAUUAAAAUUAGAAGAUAAGUUGGCAGCCAUGGAAAGAAUAGAAAGAGAAAAAACGAAGAGAUAGACAGAAAAAAGCAAAUAGAUAAAAUAAAACAACAAACCACAAAAGAAAUACGAAAAAUAGAAGAAACUAAAAAAGUAGGAUUGCUGAAUUAGAAAAGGAACUACAAAUGCUAAAAGAUUUAUGUGAAAAGAGACAGAAAGAAAAAGAAGAAAAAGAUAAAGAACAAAAAUUAUUAAACGAGAUAAAUCAAUUUAAAUAAAAAAUAAAAAAUAAAGAACCAGAAACCAAUGAAUUGGAAAUAAAUACAAUAGAUGUUGAAGAAACAGAUAAUUAUGAUUCGGAAGAUAGUGAAACAUAUACAGAAAUUCUAGAAAACAUAGGAAAACUAGAAAUUAAUGAAAAAGAAGAAGUAAUUAAUAAAAAAAAUCUAGAACUAAUAGACACAAAUAAAAUAAUACAACUAUGGGUAGGAUACAUGUCAAAAUAAUUAUUAGAUAAUAAAAUAGAUACAACAAAUACGCCAGAAUAUAUAGAAAAAAUAUUAAUAGGAACAGUAAAAUUAUGGUUUUUAAACCUAGCCGAAGCAAGUAAAAAAGUACUAAGAUUUGAUAAUAAAACAGAAGGAACAUCAAUAUCUACUAAAAUACUACCAACAGAAAUAUUGAAAAAAUAAGAAAUAGCUAUAAGAGAAGAAUUUAGUAAUAUAACAACAGAAGAAGAAGAGCAAAAUAAAGAGAAAAAUACGAAUAUGAAUUUAAUGUUAAAAUUAGCAAUAUGUAAUAUGUGCUAUAUAGAUGAGUAUACGUGUGCAUUAAAAGAAUAUUAUUUUAAAGGAACAUAUAAUAUAGAAGAAAGUAAAGAAAUA
rnacentral:lncRNA from 1 species